GACAGUCCUGAAUCAUAUAGUAUCCCUGUGCCCAGGAAAGCAGGAUUUGCUUCCAGAAGAAACAAAAUGAAAGGAAAACAUUCCAGGGAGCCAAAAAUAAGCCCAUAAUCCAUCUCAAUGUAUCACUGCACAGUGAGAAGAAAAUUCCACACCAACCCUCCCGUUGACUUCCUGUGAAUGGACGUAAGAGCAGAGGGGAGGUAAACACAGCACCUUUUAAGCCCUCAGAAGAAAUCAGUACGUGUCUGCAAGAUAUUGAGAAACAUCUCAUUUAAUCAUGCUUUGGGCUGGGAACUGGAGUGAUUUGCUUUCCUAUAAAAAUGGAUUUAUUAAGAUACGAGGGAAGGUGGCAAACUUUGCAAGGUGUGUAAAGGGCAAAUGCCAAGCCUUUGUGAGGAUGUAAGUGUGGGCAAAGAAUGUGGGGCUUGGAUCUUGAGAGCAAUAGAAAGCUA
rnacentral:lncRNA from 1 species